UACAUCUUAUCCUACACCACCCUUUCUCUUAUCCUACACCACAGCACCCCUGACGCCUCCUCUCCUUCCUCACCAACAACAAUCCCCAUGCUGGCUCCUCUCUUGCUCCACCUUCCCUCACCUAGCAGCCAACAACACCAACAUCAACAACUGCAAGCACUCCAUCUAACCUUCACCGUCGUAGCUUCCUAGCCUUCUCAUCAACCUUACACCAUCUCAUCUCCUCCACCUUCCCACAACCAGCAAUCAACAUCAAAAAAUUCAGCCAAAAAAAAUGUAGCCAAAACAGAGCAAAAGCAGAUUCGUGCGCCCGCACUAAUUUCGCGCGCCCGCACCUUCACAAAAAUUGCCUGUAAAAACAUUUUGAUUGUUGCAAAAUUUAUGUUUCCAGAGUUGUGCGCCCGCACGACGGAACCAUGCGCCCGCACGGGUGAGUGUACUGAAUUAAUGAAGGCUCGUGAUCGCACGUGGCGGUGGUGGUGUUAGACCGUUGAUUUUCUGCCGUACAAAGGUUCAACCAAGGCCAGAGAUUUCAUUGCGAUUUGAAUGAGAUGAACAGCGAACUGGGGCGGAAUGAUUGGAGAUCGAAAGUCAGCAUUGAAUUUGAUUAGAUGAUAAAUUGAUGAUGGAUGUUGAAUUCGACGAUGAUGAUGAUGAUGGUUGUGAUCGACGGCGAGAUGAUGGGUUGAUGAUGAUGACCGAUAUGAUGAUGAUAUUGAUGACCGAUAGGCGGUGAUGAUUAGUAGAUGAUGAUGGUCGGUGAUGAUGGUGGCUAAAGGGGAGGAACACGCGAAGCAGAAUAGAGAUGCGACACGGGACUGAAAUCCCAUGAGAACAGCGAAGAUGAAAACGAAGGAGGGUCUGACUUAGACCUGGCAAAAGAUGACCCAACCCACCAACCCGACUCGAACCCAACCCAUUAAUAAAGGUCAAGAUUUUUCAACCCGUUUAGUUAAACAAGUCGACCCAACACCCGUUUAUUAAAUGGGUUGGGCCAGGUUGAAAACUUCAACCCGAAAGCAACCCACAUAACCCGUUAGUUAUGGGUCAUGGGUUGUACCUGCCAACCCGCUUAGCUCAACCUAACCCACGAACCUAUUUAAAAUUUUAAAAACAGAUAAUUGAAAAUCUGAAAUAAUUGUGGGCUUAAUUUGUUUGGGCUUUAGGAAAACCCUAGAACUCACUUAGUCACUCUCAUUGUCUUGCUCUCUCCUCUCUCCUCUCUCCUCUCACAGUCUCUCUCUCACUUAGAAAACCUUAGUCUUCGUCGGUCUCCUCUCAGUCUCACCCCGCCGCUCGUCGUCUCCAAUCACAAUCUCACCGCAUCGCAGCGCCGCUCGUCGUCUCCUCUCACAGUCUUACCGCGUCGCUGCGCCGCUCACUCACUCUGAUUGAUGUAUGUCACUGUAGUUUGCACCACAAAAUGAUUACUGUACUUCAACAAGAAAUUAACAAUUUAACACCUAUAACUUCCGCUUGUAGUACGGCCUAUAUGCAUCUCAACGCGAAUAUACAUAUCAGGCCCGCAUUGAACAAGUAUGUAAUACUCCGUAUACAAAUUUUUAAAAAAGGCGGUCUGACGCGUCAGACCACCUUAUACCCGAAUUAAGGUCGCGGGUCCAGUCAAGCGUAAUUGGGUCUCGGGGUUUUUAUUUGGAUCAUAAUAUAACCUAGUUUUUGCCCUCAUUUCCAAACCCUGCCUCCGUAAUUCAGUUUCUCUCUCCUCGCAAUCUCUCUAUGCUCUCUCUCUCUCCCUCUCCCUCAAGAUCUCUCUGCUCUCUCUCCUCAGAAUAUCAUUUCCGCCGAGCUUCAUGUAUUGUCGAAUUCUCCUCUUUCUCCCUUCCAUAGCCAACCGAUCGAGUGGAGGUUGAAGUAUGGGACGGCGGCGACGACAAAGGAUCGUGACGGCGAAGAAUUCAAAGACAAACCCUAACCAGAUCCGAUUUAGCGAUUUUUUAUGUGUUAGAUCUUUCGUGGCUGCGAAGACAAGGUGGCCUUGACUGUCGUCAAAUAACCGGCAACUAGCCCAAUAUCGCAGCAGCAAAUGCGGCGGUUAGAGUGGUGGUUAUGUGUGGUUCCCGACGCCGAUUAUGGUGGUGCCGAGUAUUUCAAUCGAUUUGCCGUCGAUGAUUAAGAAUCUCAGAUUUGUAAAUGAUCCGUCGAUGAAAAAGAGGAAUGAGAAACCAGUGCUACCGCGUGUUGGAGUUGGUGUUGUUGGAUCUUCGGUGGUGGUGGAUGGUUGCGCGGAGCUGUUGGUGUUGUGGUGAUAUGUCGGGUAAUCGGGUAGAGUGCGUGGUGCUUGCUGGUCAUGUCGUGUUUUAUUUUGUUUUAGUUUAAAAUUGUAUUGUUUUAGUUACAUUUUUGUCAUCUUUAGUUAUAAAAUGAAAUCAUUAGUUACAUUUGUUCUCAAUUACUGUUUUAGUCAUGCGUUUAGUUGAAUUUUUAUUCAUUUAA